rnacentral:rRNA from 1 species
UGGGGAAUUUUGGACAAUGGGCGAAAGCCUGAUCCAGCAAUGCCGCGUGUGUGAAGAAGGCCUUCGGGUUGUAAAGCACUUUUGUCCGGAAAGAAAUCCUUGGCUCUAAUACAGUCGGGGGAUGACGGUACCGGAAGAAUAAGCACCGGCUAACUACGUGCCAGCAGCCGCGGUAAUACGUAGGGUGCAAGCGUUAAUCGGAAUUACUGGGCGUAAAGCGUGCGCAGGCGGUUUGCUAAGACCGAUGUGAAAUCCCCGGGCUCAACCUGGGAACUGCAUUGGUGACUGGCAGGCUAGAGUAUGGCAGAGGGGGGUAGAAUUCCACGUGUAGCAGUGAAAUGCGUAGAGAUGUGGAGGAAUACCGAUGGCGAAGGCAGCCCCCUGGGCCAAUACUGACGCUCAUGCACGAAAGCGUGGGGAGCAAACAGGAUUNGAUACCCUGGUAGUCCACGCCCUAAACGAUGUCAACUAGUUGUUGGGGACUUCAUUUCCUUAGUAACGUAGCUAACGCGUGAAGUUGACCGCCU